UUCUCAAACAAAAGAGAAGAAAAAGUAAAACCUUUAAUGUUCAUUGUUCUUACUUGUCCCUGUUAAUGAAAGUGGAGCUAGAUCAAUAUAUUUAUUUAAACAUAAAAGGGACACAGAUUUAUAUAUGAUAUGCUCUGGUCAAACAAGGGUUAAGUUUUCUCAGAGGGUUGAUGAGCUCUGAUGAGAGCCUAUUAUUUUACUCCACUCCUCGCAUGUCAGCCAAUCAGUGAAGCUCUAUGCAGCUCUUGUCCCUCCUUAGUGCCAGCUCCCAAGUUUGCAGUCUCUUGCUUCUACAGCCGAACAGAGCAGGCGGACUAAAACUUUGUUAUCGAGGGCAGAGCGAAACCGGAAGGUUUACUGAGCUGUGGCUUCACGUAAACGCUGAGCAUACACUCGACGGCGGUAAGCUAAAUGUGGCUAAUCAGACACGUGAUGUGUGGAGUGUGGGUACAGUUGUUGGAUGUCUCUGAAACGCACUGCUGUUAUGUUAGUUAGAUCGUUAACUAAGUAAUUUAACAUGUGAAACGCUGUAAAUGGUUAAAGCAGCUAAAAAAUAACUUUAUGAGAGAUAAUUGUAAGCAGACUUUAUCCUGCUUCCUGUUUAAUUUUGAUGUCAAUCAGUUGUUUUACAAUACUCAGUAUUGAAUACUUGGAGGUAAUUUUUAGUGUAUUUCCACUUGUACUAGUAGGCCUAUGGUACAAGCGGGAUUAAGCACGUCUAUUUUAAUACUCCUAUUUGUGGACUGAGUCUUGUGUUUACAUGUUAUUGAACCUGAUUGUUUGCACUUUGUUCAAUUUCUGAUAAGCAUUUGCAUAUUAUUCUAUUUCUUAAAAGGGGUAAUAUACUUAUUUAUUUGUGAUUAGAUAUAUAUGUACAGUGAGUUUAUUCUGAUGAAUGUAAUUAAUGUUUACAAUGAAAGUGAAUUAUAUGGUGACUGUAAUUCCUGAAUGUUUGAAACCUUGUAGAUAAUCUUUAAUGUUACUGCAGGUUACAAGCAAGUAUUGAACCUUGAUACUGUGAAAUUUUGGAUAUUGAUACUUUGAAACUUGAUAUUUUAAUGUUGUACAACAUGACUGAACUGAUGAUGAUUGAAUUGAUGAUAGCUGAUCUGAAUAGUAGUUACUGCACUGUGACACUACUUUAGUUUAAUUUGUGAGAGUUAUUCCUAAAUUGUUCGUGACAUAUAUUUGACCAUUGUUUAUAGGUCAGGUUUUUAUAUGGGACGAAUCCAAAGACCAGGUCAGUGAUUCCAGAACCCAGAGUGUUCCAGUGUUCACUGGAUGGCGAGCCAACCCAAGAUCCUAGGAGGCGAUAUACAUACACACGCACACUCAUUUGCACAUUGAUGGACUACAAUCUUCUACUGUACAAGUAGUACGGUAGGAUAGACAA